GAUGAACGCUGGCGGCGUGCUUAACACAUGCAAGUCGAACGGAAAGGCCCAAGCUUGCUUGGGUACUCGAGUGGCGAAAGGGUGAGUAACACGUGGGUGAUCUGCCCUGCACUUCGGGAUAAGCCUGGGAAACUGGGUCUAAUACCGGAUAGGACGAUGGUUUGGAUGCCAUUGUGGAAAGUUUUUUCGGUGUGGGAUGAGCUCGCGGCCUAUCAGCUUGUUGGUGGGGUAAUGGCCUACCAAGGCGUCGACGGGUAGCCGGCCUGAGAGAGUGUACGGCCACAUUGGGACUGAGAUACGGCCCAGACUCCUACGGGAGGCAGCAGUGGGGAAUAUUGCACAAUGGGCGCAAGCCUGAUGCAGCGACGCCGCGUGGGGGAUGACGGCCUUCGGGUUGUAAACUCCUUUCGCUAGGGACGAAGCGUUUUGUGACGGUACCUGGAGAAGAAGCACCGGCUAACUACGUG
rnacentral:rRNA from 1 species